UACAUACUACUACCACUACUACCAUUAAGAAUCCGCUGCUAUUCCUAUCCAUUUUCAAUAAGUCUGGGGCGAUCGGGAUUUUGGGACAUUUUAGCGACCAGUUGACGUGGCUUUGUCUACGUUAAAAAAAAAUAAAAUUCUAGGGCAUAUCACGCUUCUUUUUUUUUCUUUACCAGACAUUUUCUCCUUCUCUGUUUAUCAAACCCACCUUGAGCAGCUCCACGAUCCGCCUCUGCCGCCACGUACUGCCACUGCCGCGGCUCCGUUCCUUCUCUCUUCUAGCAGCGGCUCCCUUCCUUCUCUCUUCUAGCAGCCUUUAAGGUAUUACUCUCUUAAAUUUUUGUCGCCCUAGAUUUAGAAUACCAAAAUACCAAAUUUGAUUGCGAAAAUCUGGGUCUAAUAGAUUUAGAUUCUUGUUUUAGGUGUAAUUUUGUUAUGGAUUUUCCUCUUGGGUUUUCCGUUUAUGGUUGAAUUAAUUUGUUCAAGAAUAUCCUGCCUUUUAUGGUCUAUUUGUUUGCAAAAAUUUUUUUGGAUAAGUAGUUAUUCAUGGAGACCCCAAAGGCGAAUCAGUAUACACAUUAUUCAUUGUUUGGAUGUUUCUGAGUUGGCCUUGAUUUGGCCUUGAUUGCACAAUAUAUGUGGAUUGUGAGGUCAGUCUUGGAUACUUGCUGUAUAUUCAGUGGUUUUGGUAAUUCAAUUACUCUCCAUAUUUGGGUUAAGGAUAAUUAAUGGGGUUUUUUGGCCUUGUGAAUUUAGGCUUCAGCUUACCCAGUUUCUUCACUAGGUAAUGUAGUGUAGAUUUAAUUGAGGCAAACUUGUGAAUUUAGGCAAACUUGGAAAUACUGUAAACUUGAAUAUAUUGUAAACUUGGAUAUACUUGUGAUUUUUGGCCUUAUGAAUUGAGGCAAACUUGGAUAUACUGUAAACACUAUGAACUUGUGAAUAUACACCAAAUAGAAACAUCUCCUUUUUCUUAUAUAUGGACACUUUUGGCACAUUACAGAGUAUUUUAUCUUUAUAUUCAGUGUAAUCUAGACAGGCUGUAGAAUGGCAUAACAAGUCAGUACCUUUUCUUUGUCAUUUCUGAUUGAAUUUGUUUUUUUUAUUCUGAGUCACUCUAUUAAUUACCAAAACUCGACGAAUUUUUCUACCUGCUGGAUAUAGGUCAAGGAAGGUCAAUCCUCAAUUUCCAUAUUUGCUUCAUCUUGAUAUUCAGGUUUUACACUAGGACCUUUUUGCUAUUGGUUGUGUGGUCUGGUCUCUACAUUAAUAGUCACCCUGUGCUAACUAAAGUUGUGUUUAAUCUCUUCCCAGAGCUAUGAUUCAAAGUUCCUCAGAAUAUAUCCGGAGCUGCCACCUACUCCGCUACAAUUAGAAGAAGAUCUGGAGAAGCUCAAAGUCCUUGAGAAUGGAUAUAAGAUGAAGGUGUUAAUAAGAAUCUCUGUUGUUCACUGAAAUUGUAAUUGUUAUUAUAUUGUCAUUCUGUUUUCCAAUCUUCAUUCAAGCAGUUUUAGUUGUUGGCAAAGGCAACUGAUAAUAGGUCUUGAUGCCUCAUUUGGCAUUUUUUCUGUAAUAUGAGCUCCCAAAAUCGUAUGAGAAAGCUAAUGAAACUUGCAAAUUAUGGUAUAAAUCAAUUCAGUGGCUAUAAAAACCUAAUUGUUCCUUAAA
rnacentral:lncRNA from 1 species